CAGAACCUAAAAACUAGGGAUUUCCUCUCAAACUCCUCCCAUCCAUCUAGCCAAUCAUAACAACAAUUUAGUCAUCCUUAAGAUAGAGAACACCAUGGUAGCUUCGGAAUCGUGAAUUCUUCGGUGUUUCACUUUUUGUAGGAAGACUCCGCCUUGAAGUAAUCUCGAAUUUAAAGUAAUUCUGGUCACAUAAGGAAAUCAUUCCUAAGGCUUUCGAGGUCUCGGAAACCGUAUAUAACUCCAUCGACAAGGUUCGGAUAGACAAAGCGGCGUGCCUCCUCAGUAGGACCCCCAGGAUCAGCGUUGGGUUUCGCACUCCACUUCUUCGGAGUUGCUGACUUUGAGUCCAUAGGUACUAUUACAGAUGUAUAUGUGUGGUUUUGGGCAUGUCGGGGGCUU